UUAAACCUAAAAACAUAAUCCCCUUUUUCUCUCUGAAAUCGCCGCCCGCCUCCACCGUAUCUCCGCUGCCCGGAAAUCGUCUCACGGUGGCGGAGCACCUCCAAAUCCCUCCAAAUUUUAACCAGCCAAUCCCCAUCAUCCCCUCAUUCAUAUCCUACCAUUGAUUUCCCCAAAAGAUCACUCAAUUUCUCCAAAUUGUAGAUCCAAAAAUAAAAAUCCAAACUUUCCUCUUUUUGCCCAAAUUUUCCGGAUUAAAUCCUCAAUUCGUGUAAAACUUGCAUGAAUUCCUCAGUUUGUCGACAAAGGGAGUUCGUUUGAAUGUCCCUAUCUCAUAGGUUGGGCCAAAUUUCGGAAAAUAGCUUUGAACGUUUCAAUUUUUUCGAGCCUUUGCCUCGUUUCUUUCUUGGCACACAGUGAGGAUUGCAUUGGCCAUGAACGAAAGUUCAGCUAAUAUUCGUGUUGCAAUUUUCACCAUUUGGCCGAGAUUUUUGCUCGCCGUAGUUCGAGUUCGAGUUGUCACUGUUCUCGAAGUUUCCAAGGCUUGAUUACAUUCAAUUGGUAUACCCUUUUCUCCUUUUCUGUAAGUUCAAUUAUUGGUCAUGUGUCAUAAGCUCGAACCUCUUCUCCCUUUCUGUAGUUCUGUAAGUUCAAUUGGAGUUUUUGGCGUUUUUAUUAAUUAAUCAGCAAUUUAGUUUUAAAUUUGCAUUUUUUCUUUUAAUGUGUUCCAUUUCAAAGAAAAAAAUAACACACACACACACACACACAUAUAUAUAUACUGUCUCAUCCCCCAUAUUUGAUUGCCAUUUCUCUUUGAUUUUGUUGGUUUGUUUGUUUGGCUCAGACCUGGGUACACAACGGGCAGGCCCAUUAGAUAAAGGAUUUGGUCAAAAGGGGUCAAAAACUUUUUGAGGCAUGUCCGGUGGCCCAAGUCCACUUUUAAAAGAGCUGGGAGGUUAAAUUGGGGGUUUAACUUAGAGAUUUUUGGAUAACUACCUAGGAAGGUUCUAGGAAAAAAGGGAGUGGGGUAAUUGAUUGAAUGGUUUAAAUAUUGGGGGUCCAAGUUAACAAAAAUGGAAUUGAAGAGAGGUGAGAUUGAAUUAAUAAAAUCUGAUGUUAUUGCCCAAAAUCCCUUCUAUAAAAGACCCUCUUUCCAAUCAUUAGGGCACAAAAAAGGAGUGAAAAAAGGGUAAACGGCUGGAAAACAAAACCUUGAAAAAGUUUUCUUAAGAAAUUUUGAUUUCUCUUUUCUUUUCUGGAGUCAUUUGCUGGGGUUUUCAGAAGUUGGAACAAGAAAUUUUGGGUUUAUUCACGGCUCUUAUUGCUGAGUUUGAGCUAGGAGUUGUUGAUUUCCUUGCAUUUCUUUUGGCUGUUGUUUUCUUUUGCUAGGUAUUUUGCUGAUCCUUUUGUAUGCUUCUGCUGAGUUUUCCUUUUAUGAAAUCUUGUCUUCCCUAAACACUUGAGCCUAACCUAAUAAAUCUGAUAUCCCAGCUAUGCAAACUACUUGGAUUUCCUUCUCUGAAGUCUAUUUCAUGUGUGUAUGAUAACUGAGUUAAGGGUUCUCUUUGUUGUCAUUCAUAUAGCUGGUUCAUUGUUGUAAGUUUUAUUUUAUUUGGAUGCUGAUUCUGUAUCAGAAAUGAUGCUAAAAAAUGAUAACUUUGUUUCCCUGUUGUCUCUGAAUAUGUAUUAUAAGCUUAGUUGUUAGAAGUUUAUUAGUUUCAUAUCUUUGUUGAAUACAAACUAAGGUUGUAGUAACAUGAGUUUUCUUAUGGUGGUUUGUACAUGAAAUAUGUAGCUUUAUUUUAAUUUGAAGAGUUGAAAUGUGUUUGCUACUGCUUACCUGGCUGUAGUUUUAGAUCUGACCACAACUGGCCAUGUCUGUAAAUAUGGAGGCCCAAAAGUAGCAUCCGGAAGCAUCCUUGGAGAUUCAAAAGCUAAAUGGCCUCAUAUAGGAUAUGUGUUUACUAGGCUCUAAUUAGGAAUCAUUUAUUUUACUUAAUAAUACAUUGCAAUAUUGUUGUAAUUAUUUUUCUUCACUUGAUAUACAGAUUAUGCGUUCUAUGUAGGACUACUGAUUUGUAUGAAGCAAGAUGUCAUUAUUUCUUUGGCUUAGUACGUAGAUGAUAAUUUUAAUGGGGUUGUUAGUCAUGUUUUGGGUUGAUUCAUUAUGGACGACCUAAAUCGAGCUCAUUUCUCAUUUAACAAGUUUUGUUUAAAUAGAUAAGGAGAGUGUGUUUAAGUUAUUGGAUUUUAUUGGAUAAACAAUGUGAAUCUCAGUAGGCA
rnacentral:lncRNA from 1 species